rnacentral:rRNA from 1 species
AGUGGCGGACGGGUGAGUAACGCGUGAGCAACCUGCCCUUGUGUGGGGGAUACCAUCUGGAAACGGAUGUUAAUACCGCAUAACGUACAAGCGACCGCAUGGUCGUAGUACCAAAGAUUUAUUGCGCAAGGAUGGGCUCGCGUCCCAUUAGAUAGUUGGUGAGGUAACGGCCCACCAAGUCAACGAUGGGUAGCCGGACUGAGAGGUCGAUCGGCCACAUUGGAACUGAGAUACGGUCCAGACUCCUACGGGAGGCAGCAGUGGGGAAUAUUGGGCAAUGGGGGAAACCCUGACCCAGCGACGCCGCGUGAGGGAAGACGGUCUUCGGAUUGUAAACCUCUUUCAGCAGGGAAGAAGAAGUGACGGUACCUGCAGAAGAAGCCACGGCUAACUACGUGCCAGCAGCCGCGGUAAUACGUAGGUGGCAAGCGUUAUCCGGAUUUAUUGGGUGUAAAGGGUGUGUAGGCGGGACUGCAAGUCAGACGUGAAAAUCAUGGGCUCAACCCAUGACUUGCGUUUGAAACUGUGGUUCUUGAGAGUGGGAGAGGUAAACGGAAUUCCUGGUGUAGCGGUGAAAUGCGUAGAUAUCAGGAGGAACACCGGUGGCGAAGGCGGUUUACUGGACCACAACUGACGCUGAGACACGAAAGCGUGGGGAGCAAACAGGAUUAGAUACCCUGGUAGUCCAUGCUGUAAACGAUGAAUACUAGGUGUGGGGGGACUGACCCCUUCCGUGCCGGAGUAAACACAAUAAGUAUUCCACCUGGGGAGUACGACCGCAAGGUUGAAACUCAAAGGAAUUGACGGGGGCCCGCACAAGCAGUGGAGUAUGUGGUUUAAUUCGAAGCAACGCGAAGAACCUUACCAGGUCUUGACAUCCGACUAACGAGAUAGAGAUAUGUUAGGUGCCCUUCGGGGAAAGUCGAGACAGGUGGUGCAUGGUUGUCGUCAGCUCGUGUCGUGAGAUGUUGGGUUAAGUCCCGCAACGAGCGCAACCCUUGCCAUUAGUUGCUACGCAAGAGCACUCUAAUGGGACCGCUACCGACAAGGUGGAGGAAGGUGGGGACGACGUCAAAUCAUCAUGCCCCUUAUGACCUGGGCUACACACGUACUACAAUGGCCGUUAACAGAGGGAAGCAAUACCGCGAGGAGGAGCAAAUCCCUAAAAACGGUCCCAGUUCAGAUUGCAGGCUGAAACUCGCCUGUAUGAAGUUGGAAUUGCUAGUAAUCGCAGAUCAGCAUGCUGCGGUGAAUACGUUCCCGGGCCUUGCACUCACCGCCCGUCA